AAAGGGAGACCUAAUUCAGGUAUGGGACGAAAAAAAAGUAGUCGCUACCAAGAAUCAAUCCCAAAAGGUCGGAGCGAGGCAUGAGGCUUUCAAACUAGGUUCUGGGUUCACACAAGACCUGAAUCAGGAACAAGGGCUAUUAGCUCAGGUGGUUAGAGCGCACCCCUGAUAAGGGUGAGGUCCCUGGUUCGAGUCCAGGAUGGCCCACCUGCACAGGUGGCAAAAACAAGAGAAGCGAGGAAUCAGCACCUUAUCUUACUGACAUAGCAAGAGAGAAUGCUGGCUCUGAGUAAAGAGUCCAGAGGAACCUUGAAAACUGCAUAGAGCUAGGUGAAAAAGCCAAAAAAGAAGACCGCAAG
rnacentral:tRNA from 1 species